CACCUGCACCACCCAUGUUUAUUGUACCUUGAUGCUUCGGUGCGCCCGCCUCCGGCCGCCGGGGGGCUUCUGCCCCCGGGUCCGCGCGCACCGGAGACACCAUUGAACUCUGUCUGAAGAUUGCAGUCUGAGCAUAAACUAAAUAAGUUAAAACUUUCAACAACGGAUCUCUUGGUUCCGGCAUCGAUGAAGAACGCAGCGAAAUGCGAUAACUAAUGUGAAUUGCAGAAUUCAGUGAAUCAUCGAGUCUUUGAACGCACAUUGCGCCCCCUGGUAUUCCGGGGGGCAUGCCUGUCCGAGCGUCAUUGCUGCCCUCAAGCACGGCUUGUGUGUUGGGCUCCGUCCCCCCGGGGACGGGUCCGAAAGGCAGCGGCGGCACCGAGUCCGGUCCUCGAGCGUAUGGGGCUUUGUCACCCGCUCUGUAGGCCCGGCCGGCGCCAGCCGACAACCAAUCAUCCUUUUUUCAGGUUGACCUCGGAUCAGGUAGGGAUACCCGCUGAACUUAAGCAUAUCAAUAAGCG
rnacentral:rRNA from 1 species